GCCUGUAUAGAUCAGUUGGUUAGAGUGUGGUGCUGAUAAUGGCAAGGGUGCUGGUUCAAUCCCCGCAUGGGACA